UGAACGCUGGCGGCGUGCCUACUACAUGCACGUCGAGCGAACAGACGAGGAGCUUGCUCCUCUGCCGUUAGCGGCGGACGGGUGAGUAACACGUGGAUAACCUACCUAUAAGACUGGGAUAACUUCGGGAAACCGGAGCUAAUACCGGAUAAUAUAUUGAACCGCAUGGUUCACUAGUGAAAGACGGUUUUGCUGUCACUUAUAGAUGGAUCCGCGCCGCAUUAGCUAGUUGGUAAGGUAACGGCUUACCAAGGCAACGAUGCGUAGCCGACCUGAGAGGGUGAUCGGCCACACUGGAACUGAGACACGGUCCAGACUCCUACGGGAGGCAGCAGUAGGGAAUCUUCCGCAAUGGGCGAAAGCCUGACGGAGCAACGCCGCGUGAGUGAUGAAGGUCUUCGGAUCGUAAAACUCUGUUAUUAGGGAAGAACAAAUGUGUAAGUAACUAUGCACGUCUUGACGGUACCUAAUCAGAAAGCCACGGCUAACUACGUG
rnacentral:rRNA from 1 species